AGACUUGCUGUAGACCAGGGAAGUAAGCAGAGCUCACUGUGCAUCCCAGACUCUUGUGAACACCGGGACACAGUGGACCCUAGUUUCCUCACUGUGUUCGGGAACAGAAGCUCAGGAGAGGAAAUGCAGAGAGAAGACAACCAAGUCCAAAGUGUGAGAAACGACCAAGAAGCCAAUAGGAGGAGGAGGCUGAGGCAGGAAGGCCAAAGUUCCUCAGGUCCUUGUGAUAGCCCGUGGACUGAGUCUGAAAUCAAGAUCUUGCUGGAAGAGUGGGCAGUGGUUGAAUAUGAACUCAGAGACACAGGAAAUAGGAUGGAUGAGAAGGCCGAGUCCCUUAGCAGUCGCCUUUCUAAUCGGGGUUUGAGGAAAAGCAAGAAUAGCUGCCUUGAUGUGAUGGUGAAGAUGAAGGACCUGCACACACAGCUGUGUAACGAGAGGCCCCGGGCUGGCCCCUUGUAUUCUCCUUAUCGUUUGAUCCUAUAUGACAUCUUGGGCCACCCUACAUCCCAGGGAGGCUAUGUUCCAGGUGCUGUGUUUGAUUGGUCUGGUUACCCCAUGCCUUCCUGGAGCACUCAACCUCCAAUGGUGAUGCCAUCUCCAGUAUACCAGCCUUGGGAUUAUGGCAUGUUUGCAUCUUCUGGACAGCUUCCUGGGAACCCAUCGCUGAUGAUGUCCAGUCAGGAUUCACUGGUUCCCAGAUCUGCCGCCUGGAAUGCCACCUAUCCAUUGCCAGUUCAACAUGUACUUCCUGCCUCUCUCCCUGGAGACACCAACCUUCAGCUGCCGAGGUCACCUCGUGAUGACAGCUCAAGUCCCCAGUGAAGAUAUAUGGGGACUUUCCUUUUCCUCUAAAAGCGCCUUAGAAUCAUACAGCACUGUAUGGAUACUCGAUUUCUCUAUCUUAUUGUAAAGGAAAUGUGAAUUCAAAUCUAUUAUUUUGACAUAACUCUUUUUAUGUUGAAUUCUUGUCACUUUAUAGGGGACAUAAGUGUAGAGGGGAGGGAAUGUGGUACUUCAUGGUGAGGUUCAUUUUGUGGGUACCUGAUACCUGUUGUCUACCCUCCAUUUUCAUAAGAUUUCUGACCCUGAGGCUAAACUCUCUCUACUUCCCAGACAGCAGCUCAGCAGCUCUUUCAUUCUCUGGCCCUCUUGAUGGAGGAUUCCUGAUCAGUGAUCCAUAGACUCCCAUUUUUUGAGAACACUGGGACAAUGGGUUUAAAAUUGAGUUCUACAUGCUUGGUAGAUGGCAAUAUCAAUUGAGAGGAUAUGAAAACUUAUCUAAAUAUUUAAGCUUCAAAUACUAAAGAGAAUGUCUGUCAAGGGACAUUGCCACUAACCUCAUUUUGUAUCUCAUAUAUAGGUAGAAAAGCAUUGUUAUUUUAGGUCUAAUCAUGGCCUGGUGAUUCACAGGUACAUAUAUCUGUCUACCAACUAUCUAUCUUGAUCUCUUUCUCUCUAUAUCUCUCUCUCUCCCUAUAUCUAUCUAUCUAUCUAUCUAUCUAUCUAUCUAUCUAUCUAUCUAUCUACUAUCUAUCUAUCUUUCAUUGCAUUUGACAUUCCACCUUGUAAAGUUACAUCACUCUAAGACUAAUUAAUAUCCAUAAAGUGUUUAUUUUUAAAUGAAUCAUGACCUAGGGUGAUAGAACUCUCAGUCAGGUUAACACUUCAACUUGACUCCAGGUAGAAUUAACUAAAGUCUCAAAUGUCUAGGCACCCUUCUGAGGAAUUUAGCGUAAGUACUUGGAGCAGAAAGUUCUAUUUCUGACCUCGUUCUCUGAGGUGCAAAAUAGAGCUUUGCCUAAUCUUUCUUGGUGGGAAAGCCAGGGUCCCCUCUGAGACAUAUAAAUAUAUGUGUGUGUGUGUAUAUGCAUGCUAUAGGUCUACAAGAAGGCCAGAAAAGAAGGAAGUCCUCCAUUGCCUGCAUGGUAUCACCCUCCCUAGGAAGUGCAUGCACUAACUGAGGUCAGAGCAGAGGUUCUCUGGUUUUGGGGGGAGAUGUGUUUUGAGUUGAUGAAGCUCCCAAAGGAGUCACCUAAAGCCAGUCUGUAAGCCAAGCAUUCACAAACCACCACACUCCUCGCCCUGGCCCAUUGUUCAAACACGUGAUUCUAUGGGCAAUACCUAGCUAUAGCAUAAUGCUAAAAUAUGCAGUCCAACUGACAGAGAACCCAUAGUCUAUAACACUCUCAAAAAAUUUGAAAGGCCAUAAUUUGAACAUGUGGUUUAAUGUUCAUUCAAUGACUUAAAGGUAGUGCUGUAUAAAAUCAAAAUCACAAAGCAGAUCAUAUACCUACAACAUCACAGGAUAUAUAUUCCCACUUAAAAAAGUUAUAGUGAAGAAAUACUGAACCAAAGCAAGAUUAAAAUUCAUCUGUGCAAGCUCUG
rnacentral:lncRNA from 1 species